AGCUGUCAAUGUUGAUGGCGUUACAUGAUCAUAUUCACAUUGUUCUUGAGCCAAUUGAGCUCAUUUUUUUAUAUCUUUUGCAUGAUGACAUCUAUUACAUGGAAAGCUAUAGCAAGCAAAAUAUGAAAAAAAUGAUCAUCAUUCUGUGAAAUGUGUAUUGAUAAUAAUGAUUGUACAACUUAAAAGAGCCACAUUGAAAUCUAUUAGAUGGAAAAGAGUUAGAAAAUAAAAAAAUAAAAUUAGGAAAAAAACUUGACUUUCUCGAAAAAAGAAAAGGGUUUCGGCUGAGUUAUUUUCUUUUUUUUCUUUUUUUGAAUGAUGAAAGGAAACGUUAA